GACGUAGGGCGCGAGCGUUGUCCGGAUUUAUUGGGCGUAAAGCGCUCGUAGGCGGCUUGUCGCGUCGUCCGUGAAAACCCACAGCUCAACUGUGGGCUUGCGGUCGAUACGGGCAGGCUAGAGUUCGGUAGGGGAGACUGGAAUUCCUGGUGUAGCGGUGAAAUGCGCAGAUAUCAGGAGGAACACCGGUGGCGAAGGCGGGUCUCUGGGCCGAUACUGACGCUGAGGAGCGAAAGCGUGGGGAGCGAACAGG
rnacentral:rRNA from 1 species